rnacentral:rRNA from 1 species
CCUACGGUGUGCUGCAGUGGGGAAUAUUGGACAAUGGGCGAAAGCCUGAUCCAGCCAUGCCGCGUGUGUGAAGAAGGCCUUCGGGUUGUAAAGCACUUUCAGUGGGGAAGAAAGCCUUGGGGCUAAUACCCUCGAGGAAGGACAUCACCCACAGAAGAAGCACCGGCUAACUCCGUGCCAGCAGCCGCGGUAAUACGGAGGGUGCGAGCGUUAAUCGGAAUUACUGGGCGUAAAGCGCGCGUAGGCGGUCUGAUAAGCCGGUUGUGAAAGCCCCGGGCUCAACCUGGGAACGGCAUCCGGAACUGUCAGGUUAGAGUGCAGGAGAGGAAGGUAGAAUUCCCGGUGUAGCGGUGAAAUGCGGAGAGAUCGGGAGGAAUACCAGUGGCGAAGGCGGCCUUCUGGACUGACACUGACGCUGAGGUGCGAAAGCGUGGGUAGCAAACAGGAUUAGAUACCCCGGUAGUC